CGAAUCAUAAUUUGCUGCUCUA
rnacentral:miRNA from 1 species